rnacentral:rRNA from 1 species
GACGAACGCUGGCGGCGUGCUUAACACAUGCAAGUCGAACGGAAAGGCCCUGCUUUUGUGGGGUGCUCGAGUGGCGAACGGGUGAGUAACACGUGAGUAACCUGCCCUUGACUUUGGGAUAACUUCAGGAAACUGGGGCUAAUACCGGAUAGGAGCUCCUGCUGCAUGGUGGGGGUUGGAAAGUUUCGGCGGUUGGGGAUGGACUCGCGGCUUAUCAGCUUGUUGGUGGGGUAGUGGCUUACCAAGGCUUUGACGGGUAGCCGGCCUGAGUGGGUGACCGGCCACAUUGGGACUGAGAUACGGCCCAGACUCCUACGGGAGGCAGCAGUGGGGAAUAUUGAACAAUGGGCGGAAGCCUGAUGCAGCAGCGCCGCGUGCGGGAUGACGGCCUUCGGGUUGUAAACCGCUUUCGCCUGUGACGAAGCGUGAGUGACGGUAAUGGGUAAAGAAGCACCGGCUAACUACGUG